AGAGUGAACGCUGGCGGUAGGCCUAACACAUGCAAGUCGAACGAUGAAGGCUGGAGCUUGCUCUGGCUGGAUUAGUGGCGAACGGGUGAGUAACACGUGAGUAACCUGCCCCAGACUCUGGGAUAAGCGCUGGAAACGGCGUCUAAUACCGGAUACGAGCUUCCACCGCACGGUGAGGAGCUGGAAAGAAUUUCGGUCUGGGAUGGACUCGCGGCCUAUCAGCUUGUUGGUGAGGUAAUGGCUCACCAAGGCGACGACGGGUAGCCGGCCUGAGAGGGUGACCGGCCACACUGGGACUGAGACACGGCCCAGACUCCUACGGGAGGCAGCAGUGGGGAAUAUUGCACAAUGGGCGCAAGCCUGAUGCAGCAACGCGCGUGAGGGACGAAGGCCUUCGGG
rnacentral:rRNA from 1 species